CCCCUAGAUGUUCUGGGCCGCACGCGCGCUACACUGAACAGUUCAACAAGUCUUAACCUUGGCCGAUAGGUCUGGGUAAUCUUUGAACGCCGGUCGUGAUGGGGAUAGACUUUUGCAAUUUUUGGUCUUCAACGAGGAAUUCCUAGUAAACGCAAGUCAUCAACUUGCAUUGAUUACGUCCCUGCCCUUUGUACACACCGCCCGUCGCACCUACCGAUUGAAUGGUCCGGUGAAGCCUCCGGAUUGGCGCGCACCUCGGUGCCGCCGAGAAGUUGGCUAAACCUUACCAUUUAGAGGAAGGUGAAGUCGUAACA
rnacentral:rRNA from 1 species